GACGGGACCCGCACAAGCGGUGGAUGAUGUGGUUUAAUUCGAUGCAACGCGAAAAACCUUACCCACCUUUGACAUGGCAGGAAGUUUCCAGAGAUGGAUUCGUGCUCGAAAGAGAACCUGCACACAGGUGCUGCAUGGCUGUCGUCAGCUCGUGUCGUGAGAUGUUGGGUUAAGUCCCGCAACGAGCGCAACCCUUGUCAUUAGUUGCUACGAAAGGGCACUCUAAUGAGACUGCCGGUGACAAACCGGAGGAAGGUGGGGAUGACGUCAAAUCAUCAUGCCCCUUAUGACCUGGGCUACACACGUGCUACAAUGGUUGGUACAACGAGUUGCGAGUCGGUGACGGCGAGCUAAUCUCUUAAAGCCAAUCUCAGUUCGGAUUGUAGGCUGCAACUCGCCUACAUGAAGUCGGAAUCGCUAGUAAUCGCGGAUCAGCACGCCGCGGUGAAUACGUUCCCGGGCCUU
rnacentral:rRNA from 1 species